CCCCUAGUAACGGCGAGUGAAGCGGGAAAAGCCCAUCUCUGAAAUCUCCGCUCUCACAGGGGGCGGCGAGUUGUGAGGUGAGGGACGGUUUGCACCAAGUCGCGAGUCGGGCAGAAGUUCCGCUGAGACGGAUGCCAUAGAGGGUGUCAGCCCCGUACGUGGUUCGACUCGUGUCUGGGCAUAUCCGUGCCGCAGAGUCGGCUUGUUUGGGAAUGCAAGCCCAAUUGGGUGGUAGACUCCAUCUAAGGCUAAAUAUUAGGACGAGACCGAUAGCGAACAAGUACCGUGAGGGAAAGUUGAAAAGCACUUUGAAGAGAGAGUUCAAGAGUACGUGAAACCGUCGAGAGGUAAACGGUGGAGGCAGCUACGGCACCCGGCGAGACUCAGAUGGUCGGUUUGGUCAACGGGCGUCGUACGGAUCCGAAUGGACCGUCGGCGUUUGUCUGGUUUGGCUGGCUGUCGCAUUUCUCGUCGGGAGCGGACACGACGGAUUGCUCGGGGGCGAAAUCUCGCUGUUGGUGGGGUCUGUCUCGGCAGGCUUUCAGGCAGUUGUGGGUGGCCUCCUGGGCGAUCGCGGUAGUGAGGAGUACCUGCGCUUCGGUGCCUUCUKCCUUUUCCUCGGUAGGGCGUGACCAUAGUGGACUGCUUGCAGUGCGCUUGAACUUCGUCUUGCCGUCGGAGGAGUGCAUGAAAGAUUGGGUACGUCCCUGUCAGUGUUAAAGUUGUUCUUUACCGACCCGUCUUGAAACACGGACCAAGGAGUCUAACAUGUGUGCGAGUCUCGAGGGUGAAGAAACCCGCAGGCGGAAUGAAAGUGAUUAGGUGGGAAGUCUCUCUCGGGGGACCGUACCGCCGUCCCGUCCUACCGUCUUGUACGAGGGGCGGAGAAGGAGCAUACACGUUGGGACCCGAAAGAUGGUGAACUAUGCCUGCACAGGAUGAAGCCAGAGGAAACUCUGGUGGAGGUCCGCAGCGAUUCUGACGUGCAAAUCGAUCGUCUGAUUUGGGUAUAGGGGCGA
rnacentral:rRNA from 1 species